AGUUAUAAUCUGACACGUGUCAUCUUAUUAUCCACAUCACUUCUAAUAUUUUAUUUUCGUAAUAUAUAUUUUAUUAUUUAAUUUAAUUGCAUAAUAAUCCCUACCAAUUUAGUUAAUAGCUUAGUAAUCCUUUAAUUUUAAAUAUAUCCCCAUUCCCCCAUUCACGUUCUUCUUCAUAAAAAAGAAAUCGUUCUUCCUUUCCUUUCGCCGGCGGCAACAACGACCUAGCGUGGUGCGGUGGUGGAUCUCCGGCAACCUAGCCCGCUUCUCCAACCAGCAUGCUGAUUUGUUGAGAAGAUUCAUUUCCCUUCAAAUUCACAUGCCUUGAUGAUGUUAAAUAUCAACCUCUGGUGUAUUUCCCUUCACAUUCAAUACACUCCCUGGCGACGUAAUUUGUUGCUGCCCUGUAUCUCCUAUCUGACUGGUGCGGUCUAUUCUUUUUUCUGUACUGUGCACUCAGCCUGCAUAGGCGCUGGUUUAGUGGUGUGGGCUGUGGAAUAUUUGUAGGCGAGUAUUCCGCUUGACCGGGGAAAUUGGAAAGGAAUCCUGGAUAGAAUAGUGGUCUACUGCAGUGAUGAGUUGCCCCUAAUCUAUUUAUCCCAUUGAGUUCUAUGUGUGUGCUGAUAUGCAUCUUGUUGAGUUACAUGUUCAAAAUUUAUUAAUCUUGGCUCCUUCGUUAGCAUCACUGAUCCAGGUGGCAGAUUUGAUGAAGGUAGCUUAUUGAUUGUGCUGCAUAGUGGCUAUUGGUCUUGGUUGUUGGAGGAUUGUGGCUACCUGUUUUGUCUCUAAUAGCUAAUAAAAUCCACAAAAGUCAACAAGGAUUUGUAUGCUGCGUGGAUCUGCCUUGUUGGCUUUAGGGAGCAUUUGAAUUACAAUGUGAUAUUUUAGUGCUCUCUUUGAUGGGGAUGGAGGGAUGGUUUAGAAUCAUGUUUAGGUUCAUCUUGUAGCAGCUAAGGUUGUUCUUAGGCAUGUCUUGUAUUUUAUCUUUAUCUUUUUAAACUAUAUAUUUGUAUUGGGUUGAAGUACCCCUUGUACUUCUCAUUCAAUACAUUGUUUUGCUUAUAAAAAAAAACCUCUGAUUUAUUUGGUUUAUUAAUGCAGCAACUAUAUACAAUUUGAGUGUGUCAUGCAUUGGAAUUAUUGGGAUCAUUACAUCGUCUAAAAAUCGACAACCAGGAGCCAUAGUCUGCAAGACCUCUCUAGUUGCUGGGAUAACAACAUGGUCCACGAGCACUUCUCUGUGAAUAUAGAAAUAGAAAUAAGAGGAGAAAUAUUGACAUUUUGUUUAUAAAGCUUAAGAAACUAUGUCAAAUCACAAAUGAAGAGUGUUAUAUAUGUUACUCUUUUGGAAGUGUAUCAGAGAAAAUGUAUUCAGCAA